GACGAACGCUGGCGGCGUGCUUAACACAUGCAAGUCGAGCGGAGCGGCGAACGGGUGAGUAACGCGUGAGUAACUGCCCCCCUCUCUGGGAUAACAGUUGGAAACGGCUGCUAAUACCGGAUAGUGGGGGAUGAUCCGCGUCCAAUCAGCUUGUUGGUGGGGUAGUGGCCUACCAAGGGGACGACGGGUAGCCGGCCUGGGAGGGCGACCGGCCCCAUUGGGCUAGGUUACUGCCCAAACUCCUACGGGAGGCAGCAGUGGGGAAUAUGGCACAAGGGGGGAAACCCUGAUGCAGCAACGCCGCGUUCGGGAUGACUGCCUGCGGGUUGUAAACCGCUUUCAGUCAUGACGCGGUAGUGGCAGAAGAAGCACCGGCUAACUACGUGCCAGCAGCCGCGGUAAUAC
rnacentral:rRNA from 1 species